rnacentral:rRNA from 1 species
CCUACGGGAGGCAGCAGUAGGGAAUAUUGCUCAAUGGGGGAAACCCUGAAGCAGCAACGCCGCGUGGAGGAUGAUGGUUUUCGGAUUGUAAACUCCUUUUGUUAGAGAAGAUAAUGACGGUAUCUAACGAAUAAGCACCGGCGAACUCCGUGCCAGCAGCCGCGGUAAUACGGAGGGUGCAAGAGUUACUCGGAAUCACUGGGCGUAAGGAGCGCGUAGGCGGGAUAGCAAGUCAGAUGUGAAAUCCUAUGGCUUAACCAUAGAACUGCAUUUGAAACUGUUAUUCUAGAGUAUGGGAGAGGUAGGUGGAAUUCUUGGUGUAGGGGUAAAAUCCGUAGAGAUCAAGAGGAAUACUCAUUGCGAAGGCGACCUGCUAGAACAUAACUGACGCUGAUGCGCGAAAGCGUGGGGAGCAAACAGGAUUAGAUACCCUUGUAGUC